UACGGAGGGUGCAAGCGUUAUCCGGAAUUACUGGGUUUAAAGGGUGCGUAGGCGGUGGGAUAAGUCAGUUGUGAAAUUCCGUGGCUUAACCAUAGGGACUGCGAUUGAUACUGUUUCACUUGAAUCAGGUUGAGGUGAGCGGAAUGUGGCAUGUAGCGGUGAAAUGCAUAGAUAUGCCAUAGAACACCGAUUGCGAAGGCAGCUUGCUGGACCUGUAUUGACGCUGAGGCACGAAAGCGUGGGGAGCAAACAGGAUUAGAUACCCUGGUAGUCCACGCCCUAAACGAUGUUUACUUGCUGUUCGGCCUUCGGGUUGAGUGGCGAAGCGAAAGCGAUAAGUAAACCACCUGGGGAGUACGCCCGCAAGGGUGAA
rnacentral:rRNA from 1 species